ACGGUCACGUCGCGUUGAAACAAGGUUCCUGUACGAUCACCGAAGUUAAGCAAUGUCGAGUGUAGUCAGUACCUAGAUGGGUGACCGCUUGGGAAUACCACUUGCUGUAA